rnacentral:rRNA from 1 species
CCUUGACAUCCAGAGAACUUAGCAGAGAUGCUUUGGUGCCUUCGGGAACUCUGAGACAGGUGCUGCAUGGCCGUCGUCAGCUCGUGUUGUGAAAUGUUGGGUUAAGUCCCGNAACGAGCGCAACCCUUAUCCUUUGUUGCCAGCGGUUCGGCCGGGAACUCAAAGGAGACUGCCGGUGAUAAACCGGAGGAAGGUGGGGAUGACGUCAAGUCAUCAUGGCCCUUACGGCCAGGGCUACACACGUGCUACAAUGGCGCAUACAAAGAGAAGCGACCUCGCGAGAGCAAGCGGACCUCAUAAAGUGCGUCGUAGUCCGGAUUGGAGUCUGCAACUCGACUCCAUGAAGUCGGAAUCGCUAGUAAUCGUAGAUCAGAAUGCUACGGUGAAUACGUUCCCGGGCCUUGUACACACCGCCCGUCACACCAUGGGAGUGGGUUGCAAAAGAAGUAGGUAGCUUAACCUUCGGGAGGGCGCUUACCACUUUGUGAUUCAUGACUGGGGUGAAGUCGUAACAAGGUAAGCGUAGCGAG